GAGACCUUAACCCCGUUAAGGAUAGCCGUCGAAGGUGGGGCUCGUGAUUGGGGUG
rnacentral:rRNA from 1 species